AUCCAGCUGACGAAACCCAAAUAGGACGAAACGCGCGUCCUGGAU
rfam:Schistosoma mansoni strain Puerto Rico chromosome 6, complete genome